rnacentral:rRNA from 1 species
UACAGAGGUCUCAACCGUUGUUCGGAUUCAUUGGGCGUAAGGGUGCGUAGGCGGUCGUGCAAGUCGGAUGUGAAAUCUCAGGGCUCAACCCUGAAACUGCAUUCGAUACUGCGCGGCUAGAGUGCUGGAGGGGAGACUGGAAUUUACGGUGUAGCAGUGAAAUGCGUAGAUAUCGUAAGGAAGACCAGUGGCGAAGGCGAGUCUCUGGACAGCAACUGACGCUGAGGCACGAAGGCCAGGGGAGCGAAAGCGGG